GACGAACGCUGGCGGCGUGCUUAACACAUGCAAGUCGAACGCUGAAGCUCAGCUUUUGUUGGGUGGAUGAGUGGCGAACGGGUGAGUAACACGUGAGUAACCUGCCCCCUUCUUUGGGAUAACGCCCGGAAACGGGUGCUAAUACUGGAUAUUCACUGGUCUUCGCAUGGGGGCUGGGGGAAAGGGUUUUUCUGGUGGGGGAUGGGCUCGCGGCCUAUCAGCUUGUUGGUGGGGUGAUGGCCUACCAAGGCUUUGACGGGUAGCCGGCCUGAGAGGGUGACCGGUCACAUUGGGACUGAGAUACGGCCCAGACUCCUACGGGAGGCAGCAGUGGGGAAUAUUGCACAAUGGGCGCAAGCCUGAUGCAGCGACGCCGCGUGAGGGAUGGAGGCCUUCGGGUUGUGAACCUCUUUCGCUCAUGGUCAAGCCGCAACAAUGGUUGUGGUGAGGGUAGUGGGUAAAGAAGCGCCGGCUAACUACGUG
rnacentral:rRNA from 1 species